AUUGAACGCUGGCGGCAGGCCUAACACAUGCCAGUCGAGCGGAUGAAGGGAGCUUGCUCCUGGAUUCAGCGGCGGACGGGUGAGUAAUGCCUAGGAAUCUGCCUGGUAGUGGGGGAUAACGUCCGGAAACGGGCGCUAAUACCGCAUACGUCCUGAGGGAGAAAGUGGGGGAUCUUCGGACCUCACGCUAUCAGAUGAGCCUAGGUCGGAUUAGCUAGUUGGUGGGGUAAAGGCCUACCAAGGCGACGAUCCGUAACUGGUCUGAGAGGAUGAUCAGUCACACUGGAACUGAGACACGGUCCAGACUCCUACGGGAGGCAGCAGUGGGGAAUAUUGGACAAUGGGCGAAAGCCUGAUCCAGCCAUGCCGCGUGUGUGAAGAAGGUCUUCGGAUUGUAAAGCACUUUAAGUUGGGAGGAAGGGCAGUAAGUUAAUACCUAGCUGUUUUGACGUUACCAACAGAAUAAGCACCGGCUAACUUCGUG
rnacentral:rRNA from 1 species